UACAGAGGCCUCGAGCGUUAGGCGGAAUCACUGGGCUUAAAGCGUGUGUAGGCGGAUUGCUAAGUACCUUGUGAAAUCCCACGGCUUAACCGUGGAACGGCUUGGUAUACUGGCAGUCUUGAGCCACUCAGGGGCAACCGGAACAAACGGUGGAGCGGUGAAAUGCGUAGAUAUCGGAAGGAACGCCGGUGGCGAAAGCGGCAUCCUGGACCAACACUGACACUGAGGAGCGAAAGCCAGGGGAGCAAACGGG
rnacentral:rRNA from 1 species